GACAGAGGGGGCAAGCGUUGCUCGGAAUCACUGGGCGUAAAGGGCGCGUAGGCGGGAGUGGCAAGUCGGUCGUGAAAUCCUUCGGCUCAACCGAAGAACGUCGGCCGAUACUGCCGUUCUUGAGGGAUGCAGAGGAGAUUGGAAUUCCCGGUGUAGCGGUGAAAUGUGUAGAGAUCGGGAGGAACACCGGUGGCGAAGGCGGGCUACUCUGGGACGGUACUGGACGCUGAGACGCGAAAGCGUGGGGAGCGAACAGG
rnacentral:rRNA from 1 species